ensembl:lncRNA
CCAACCCGGAAGGACCACGGAUUUGCUGGCCAAGUUAGAGCUGAGCUUGCCAAGUUAGACAUGAUUUCAUGCCGUGGGGCUUUUUCUAGGGCUGGCUCUGUUUUCUUUAGCCUAUCGCCUGCUUAAAUUGGGGCCAGGAAGUGGCAGGUGAGGAGGCAGCCCCAGGAAAUAGUCCAGGAGGAUUCGUGGGGAGGGGCGUGCUUUUCCCCUCGAUCAGCAAGCACCGAGUCCCUUUCAACACCCAGAAAUAGACGCCACUGAGCUCUCUCUCCUCUGACCAUAAAAAGCAGCUGGCCCUGUAGGGAAGGCUGGCGGCUGCAAGCUCCAGGAGGCAGGAGCAGGAAUAAAGGCUGCCUGAGGAGCCUGGGAGUCCUGCUGCUGGCUCGAUGCUGGAGCCAUUCAGUCUCCUGGGCAAGAAACCCACCAGCUGAACACAGGCCGAGUCUCGCAAACAGUCCUGCGGCCACGGGGGCUCGGGCCACUCCUCGUUUCUGAGCUACGCCCUGUGACUAUUUACUAAAACUCGCCAGGCCGCUGCUGCUCUGUGAUGACCUCGAACCCGAACUUCAGCCCGAACCCGAACCCGCGUCACACUGCAGGCAGCCACUUCUGUGACGCAGUUCUAGCUCUUUGCACCGGGUUUUGCGUGCUCGUCUGACAUGCGUUCGGGGAAACUGAGCAUCCGGGAGCCGGUGUAAGCCGUGACCGCAGCCUGAGGAGCCGGGCCCUCCUGCGGGGGUUGAAUGCCGGGUCCCUGGCACGCGGAGGAGAGGCGGUGGGAGGCGGGGCGCGGCCGGAGCGCUGCACGCCGCUGGCCUCUGCCCCGCAGGCCUGGCCGAGAGCGGGAGGCGCCCGGCUGGGCCCCACAGACACCGGGACUGUGGCCAUCAGGCCAGGGCCAGGGACUCCCGUCUGCACCCGGCCUCUAGGGCCCUCACUCCCACAGCGCCCCCCAGCGGCACAGGGCCUCCUGGACGGAACUGAAAGUCUGAAAGUCCUGCCGGGCGACGCUCUGUUUGCACGUUUCGUCCACGUCUGCAGUGCAUCGUGACUGCGCUCCUCCCGUGGCGAAGGGACUGUCAAACUCCGCAAGGGCAGCCAUUGGUGUAAUCAGCAAAAAGCCAUCCUGCAGCUGGAAAAAAAUUACAUCUUUGAAUAAUGCUGCUGGAGGAGUUUAACAUUUUGGAAAAGAAACUCAAUAAAAACUAAGGAGAAUAUAUAUUUAAAAAAUAAAAAAAUGCAAAUACCCUGAAAAUAACCAAUUUUGCAAACUACAGGGUUUGGAAUUGAAGAAAACCAAACACUUGCCAUCAUCUACUGCUACAACCAUGGGUUCCUUUCCUCCCAGCAGCUCAGAUUCUUUGCCUCUGGUCCUCACACCCCAACCCAAAGGCCCAAAUAACUCAUGGUGGGAACAUCAGGUACCUGAAGUUUAAAUGUAUCCUUCUAUGGGAAGAACCAGAGUGGAACUAUCAAAACAGGAGGAAGAACUGCUUUUAGUACUCCCUCAUGCAUGGCCACAUCUGCCAUCCCCUUCUCAUGCCCUUUCCUCUGUCUUCAGGAAGGACAAUGAAGGGGGUGAGGAAAUUCCAAGAUCAUCUCUUGGUAGAAAAGAGGAACACGUAGCCCUCCCUACCUGGACUUCUGCCUGGACCUCUGCUGUAAGCUUCAGUGCUGUACAGGGUGAUUGCACCUUCUUAAUUUUCCAGAGUCUCUGAAAGAGAAAGGAAGCCAAUCUUGCCCUCCAGGAAAUGGGGGACAAUGUUGACUGUCACCACUUUGUACAGCUAUUGCUUGUUUAACAACUGUUAUGGCUUGCAUUUAGAUGUCCCCCAAAGCCUCACGUGGUCAUAGGUGGGGCUUUUUCAGAGGUGGCUAAAUCUAGACUGUGCAAUGCUGGAAUUGAUUCAUGAUGCAAUGCUAAGAUGAAGGGCACUAGGAUUAAAGGUGUGAGUGCUACCCACCCUAAGUAGCUGAAUAAGAUGUAAGGGAUAGAAAGAACUGUUGUUGUCCCUUGUUGCUUUUGCUACCUUCUGCCCCAUCAUGAACUCUUUCUCUUCUAUGAUGCCUGUCUGCCUUGCCAGCCUGCCUUGGAGCCAGAUGCUUAUAGACUAAAAUCUGCAGAAACUGUGAGCUAAAUAAACUUUUCCUCCCUUAACUUGUGAAUAUUGGGUAUUUUGUCUCAACAAGAAAAGUAACUAAUACAGAAUUUGGUACCAGGAGUGAGGUUGUUGCUGUGACUAUACCUGACCAUAUGGUUCAGGAGUUUGACAAGAGUUUGUAAAGGUUCAGCGAUACUGGCUAAAAAGGUAGAGCUGGAACACCUUAGGUUAUACUUGAUGGAAGAUUCUGGUCAGAGCUCAAAAGACCAAAAGGCUGAUAGAAAUCCUUCUAGUAAGGAAGGAUAGGAAUCCUUCCAGUAAAGACCAGGAUUGAGAUAUUUCUGCUGGAAAGAAACACCUCAUUAGCUGUUAGAUUCCAGACAAUAUGUGUUACACUUUCAUAGAAAGUUUGUCUACAUUUUGCUCAUGUCCAGAGACUUUGCCUAAGACUAAGAUUAAGGGUGGCAGACUAAUGAAUCUUCCAGAAAAAAUUUUGAGGAAGUCUAAUGUUGAGUCCAUGACAUAGCUUCUGUUGGGGGCUUCUAGCCAGAUCUAUGUUGAGAAUCAAGACCAAAGGGGCCAACAGAAUGACUUAAAACAUUGUAAGUUUGGCCAAAAAAAAUAAAAAUCAAUGGUCUGUGGACUGCAAAGAUAGAGCAGAAGAGAUCUUACUUGCAGCAGCAAAAAAAAAAAAAAAAAAAACAAAAACCCAAAAAACAAAAGAAUUAAAAAGAUGGUCUAAGGACAUCACAUGAAACAGCAGGACUCCAGCCUUUACAGUCUUAAAAUUGCAAAAGUAAAAGACUUUGCUUUAAAAAGAGAGCCCAGACCAUGUUCCAGAAUGGCAGUGGCCUAGGAAAGCUUUAUUUUCAGGAUUUGGUUCAGAGGCACUGGACCCCUACAGCCAAGAGAGAAGGAAGCCCGGCUACUGCUCCAGCUGGUGGCAGACCUUGGCAUCAUCCACGUGGUGCUGGUUUUAGGCACAUGCAGAUUGUGGGAGUUGUGGUGUCAGGAAGGCUUCCACCCAGAUUUCAGAAGAAGGCCUGGGAGGCAAGGCUGUGUGCCCCUGAGAGGGCAAGGGAAACAAUGCAAAAGAGAUCCCAAAAGUUGAGAGAAGCCAAGAACAUGGAUUGUCUGAGGAAAACUAUAGAGAGAGCAGAGCUGGCCCCAGAGAGAAGCCAUAUCAGCUACAGCAAGUGGCAGUGCUGUACAGACAGAGCCACCCAAGCCCUUUGGAGUUCACAACUUGCAAAUUGCAGAGCAUGCUGAAAGUGAAACUGUGAGAUUUGAUGUUUGCCCUGCGAGAUUUGGGUCUUGCUUUGUUAUCAUUCCUUGCUGUCCUUCUGUUUGUAACUUUAAAAAUAGAAGUGUCUAUCUUGUGCCAUCAAAUGUUAAAAGUGUUUAACUUUCUUUUCAUUUGUACAGGGGCUUGCAGCUAAGAGUUUGCCUUAAAUCUCAGAGGAGACUUGGGUCUUGGACUUUUCAGCAGUGCUGAAACUGUCAGGAUUUUGUCACCUCUUAGAGACGGACUCCAUGCCUUUUGCAUAAAGAGAUGUGCAUGAGUCUAGGGGGAGGGGCCAGGGGAUGAAUGCUUUGGCUUCUGUCUAGAUGUCCGCCUAAAGGCUCAUGUGGUCAUACGUGAUGGUUUUUUGGAGGUGGCUAGAUCUAGUGUGUGUGACUCUGGAAUUGAUGCAGUGCUUGGCUCGAGGCCAUUAGGAUUAAGGGUGUGAGUGCUGCCUGCCCUAAGUAGCCUGGAUAAGAAAGAGCUGUGGUUGUCCCUUGUUGCUUUGGUGCCUUUGCUCACCAUGAACUGUUUCUCCUCUGUGAUACCUGCCUGCCAUGCCACCCUGCUUUGGACCCAGCCUAAAACCUCUACAAACUGUGAGCUACAUAAACCCUUUUUCCCUUAACUUGUGGGUGUUGGGUAUUUUGUCUCAACAAUGGAAAAAUGUAACUAAGACAAUGACCUACCGUUUUAAUGACUGUUCAGGCUUAUGACCCUCCACUUGGACUUACACCCAAAUUCAGACUUACAACAAAAGAAUGCAAGCAGCAGUGCAGCCUUAUGGUGGCUCCUUCUACAGUGCUGUGAUUUUUGCUGAUUGUACUGUACUGUAGUUUUACGUUCUGUUAUACAUUACAGUAGCAUGUAAGAGUUAUGCAAAUAAAAGCAAAGUCAUCCAGUUGGAGUUUCUUUUGACCAUUUCUUUGUUCAGAAAAGUGUAAUGUGCAUACUGUAUACAAUUCCUCAUUUAGGGACCAAGUCGUUUAAUGACCCAGUUGCAGAAGCACAGCUAUGUCAUUAAGCAAGGAAUGUCCAUGACUCCUGUCAGCGACCUCUAAUGAAGAGACCAGUAAUGUUCCUGAGUAUCCCACAACACAACAAAGAGGUAUGCAGUUAAAAAAAAAAAUUGUCAAUAAGGCCAAGUUGAAAAACCCUGCAUUGAAACCAUAAAUAGCUAAUACAUUUUAGAUAUAUUCUGGAAACUGCCAUUGAAAAGUGAUUAUAGAUUUGAGAGUUUUCAAGGAGUAUCUUUUAGUCUAUAGUAAACUCAGGAUACAAUUAAAAAUAUCUCUUUAGAUGAAAACGAGAAACACCUUUACUGUCCAAAUUCUUUGGACAGUCAUCCAUAAUUUACUGAUCUGUGAGUAGGUUUAGAAAUUCUGGUGGAACUUAGGAAAAACAAACCUGUCCCCUCAGCUUUAAUAGUGUGAUCCAUGUGUUGUGGUCACAGCAUUCUGAGGGGUGAGUAUGGAACAUUUGUGCUCCCACAGGGACUGUUCCCUCACUGCCUCAGUAGCAGCUCCUUUUAGGCAAGUGUUCCAGCUUCACUAAUUUUUGAAGUUUUUGGUAAUGUUUUAUUUUUUAUUAGUCCACGUUUGCAGAACAUUAAUGACCACAUUCCUCCCGGGAAAUCGGUGCAUGCACACGAUACAGCUUAAGUCUUUUUUCACCGCAUUCUCUCCUCCCUCCCUGCCUCUUUCUCCUCCCUUCAUCACUCCAUCCCCUUUCUCUUAGAGAAGGACCUGUCUCCCUACUUCCUGUUAUCUAUCUUUUAUUUUCUCUUUGGGUUUCUCAUAUAAAAGAAACCAUGCCACAUUAAAGCUUGUGGGCCUGAUUUACUUCACUUAACAUCAUGGUCUCGAGGUGCAUC